ACACCCCAGGAGAUAGUAGGAGGGAUCUCAAAGGAUAAAAUUCUAUUACCACAGGUACUGAAGAAGGAGGGUUACGUCAACAAGAUCAUCGGCAAGUGGCAUCUUGGUCACAGAGCUCAUCACCUACCUCUGGAGCAUGGUUUUGAUGAAUGGUUUGGUGCUCCAAACUGCCACUUCGGUCCCUACAACAGCAGCGACAGGCCUAAUGUCCCGGUCUACAACAACUCUCAGAUGGUGGGAAGAUACUAUGGGGAGUUUGGGAUCGAUAAGAAAAUUGGAGAAUCUAACCUUCCUCAAAUCUACUUGGAAUUAAGUGAUUGAGUGGCAGACGUCCGUCUCAGUUCUUCCUUACAAAUACUGAUUGUAAUAGGAAUUUCCAGGAGGGCCUUGAUGUCAUAUUUCACCAAAACAUGGCCCAGUGGCCAUUUCUUCUUUACCGGGCAGCAGACCCUACGCACGCUUCAAAACGGUUCCUGGGGAAGAGCCAGAGGGGGCGGUAGGAUCACAACACUUGAAUCUACAAUUAUAAUAUGUCAAUAAUAAUGUCAUAUAUAGAAACUGACACUGCAAAGUCUUACACAGAGACAUGUGAUGUGUUGCUGACAAAUCACGGAGCGUU